rnacentral:rRNA from 1 species
GACGAACGCUGGCGGCGUGCUUAACACAUGCAAGUCGAACGCUGAAGCUCAGCUUUUGUUGGGUGGAUGAGUGGCGAACGGGUGAGUAACACGUGAGUAACCUGCUCCCUUCUUUGGGAUAACGCCCGGAAACGGGUGCUAAUACUGGAUAUUCACUGGUCUUCGCAUGGGGGUUGGUGGAAAGGGUUUUUCUGGUGGGGGAUGGGCUCGCGGCCUAUCAGCUUGUUGGUGGGGUGAUGGCCUACCAAGGCUUUGACGGGUAGCCGGCCUGAGAGGGUGACCGGUCACAUUGGGACUGAGAUACGGCCCAGACUCCUACGGGAGGCAGCAGUGGGGAAUAUUGCACAAUGGGCGCAAGCCUGAUGCAGCGACGCCGCGUGAGGGAUGGAGGCCUUCGGGUUGUGAACCUCUUUCGCUCAUGGUCAAGCCGCAACAAUGGUUGUGGUGAGGGUAGUGGGUAAAGAAGCGCCGGCUAACUACGUG